GCCAGUGUGGUGUAGUGGUUUGAACAUUGCACUAUGACUCUAGACCAGGGUUCAAAUCCCAGUUCAGCCU
rnacentral:tRNA from 1 species